CGCGGGGCGGGUUGGGCUGCGCCCGUGGGGUCCCCCGGCCGUGGCGGGGCGGCGCGGCCUGCGGGCAGCUGCGGCCGGAGGGACGGAGCGUUUCGGCAGCCCCGGCGGUGAGGAGGGAGCUCCCCGCGCAGCGGCGUGUCCCGGCCGCGUCUGGGCGGCGCGGGGCGGACGGGCCGUGCCGGGCGCCCGGGCGGCCCCCUGCAGCCUCGCUGCUCCCGGCCGGAGCCACGGGGGCUGCCCCGGGGGCGACGCUGCGUGGGUGCGAGGAAGAGCAGGAAGCGCCCAGCCCUGAGCAUCAGCGAGGAGCACGAGCCCGACACGGGGAGCGCCGAGGACACCGACRCGGGAGGACGCGUCCGGGAUGGAGGAGCCCCAGCCGCGCCAGGGGGCCGGUGCAAACACCGCAGCGUCACCCCAGCGCCAGCUCUCGGACGCUGCCACCAUGCGCAAAGCCAGGGAUAGCGCGUCCCGCAGGAGGGGCUGCGUCCUCGUCCCCUCACCUGCACGAGGACUUUGGGGCCUCAGAGGUGUUUCCUGGUUUGUCCUGCCAGCAAGUGACAGCUGCUUUGGCCAGGUCCCUCUGUGCUCCCGUCCCUGUGCGGCUGCCCCCCCCUCGGAGGAGCGGAGCGAGAACCGCACAUGCGGGCAACAGGCUGCGUCUGCUCUGCUCUGGAAAUGAAAGUGGGAGGCAUCCACAACGGAGAGCGAGCGCCGUGGGGUUUGCUUAACCCCUGACAGAAGAAGUGGGACUCCCCAUGUGCAGAAGGACCCCUCGCCUCCCUCUGCCCUGCGAGUGCCCUGCUCCUGGCUGCGACGAGCUCCUGCCUGUGCCUGCGGCCUCCUUGGAAGUGGUGCUGGGAGUAUGGCUUGGGCUSGUUAUGACUCCAGCUUGGGGGCUCGUUACAGCURUCUGGGCUUUUGACAAGGUCGUAAAUCAAUCACUGUCAUAACUUGCAUAUUAAUAUCAUCUUUAAUAUUGCAUACAUAUUGAACAAUUAGUUUAUGAACAAUGUACACACAUUGAAUAAAUAUUCCGAGUCUUGUACA
rnacentral:lncRNA from 1 species